rnacentral:rRNA from 1 species
CCUACGGGAGGCAGCAGUGAAGAAUAUUUGUCAAUGGACGAGAGUCUGAACCAGCCAAGUAGCGUGAAGGAUGACUGCCCUAUGGGUUGUAAACUUCUUUUAUAUGGGAAUAAAUUGUUCCACGUGUGGGAUUUUGUAUGUACCAUAUGAAUAAGGAUCGGCUAACUCCGUGCCUGCAGCCGCGGUAAUCCGGAGGAUCCGAGCGUUAUCCGGAUUUAUUGGGUUUCAAGGGUGCGUGGGUGGAUUGUUAAGUCAGUUGUGAAAGUUUGCGGCUCAACCGUAAAAUUGCAGAUGAAACUGGCAGUCUUGAGUACAGUAGAGGUGGGCGGAAUUCGUGGUGUAGCGGUGAAAUGCUUAGAUAUCGAGAAGAACUCCGAUGGCGAAGGCAGCUCCCUGGACUGCAACUGACACUGAGGCUCGAAAGUGAGGGUAUCAAACAGGAUUAGAUACCCUUGUAGUC